rnacentral:lncRNA from 1 species
UGCUGAUGGACUUACAUGUCUCCCUACAUUAACACUUGUGUCCUUUUUGUACAGAAUGGGAGAGUCUGCUGUUCAGUGGAUUUGGAGUGUCUUCAAAAUAACUGAAGUAUUUAAAAUGGACUCAUCACAGGAGAAAAAAUGGACAAAAUGAUCAUCCAACAUGAUGAAGAAUAAGAGUUGAUUUUUUUAAACCACAAUUACCAAAGUCUCCAUUGGAGGAAGGUGUUUGGGGGUCGCCUCGUAGACCUGCCACUUUGCUCAUUCUUGCUAACCUAGUCUAGGUGACCUACAGUGCAGUGCAUUUAAGUCUAUGGUUGUUAAGAGAAGUCCCCGGUGUUGUAAAUCACAUUUCCCUUAUCAGAUCAUUUGCAAACACAUUUAAAUGAUCU